GAUGAACGCUGGCGGCGUGCCUAAUACAUGCAAGUCGAGCGAACAGACGAGGAGCUUGCUCCUCUGACGUUAGCGGCGGACGGGUGAGUAACACGUGGAUAACCUACCUAUAAGACUGGGAUAACUUCGGGAAACCGGAGCUAAUACCGGAUAAUAUAUUGAACCGCAUGGUUCAAUAGUGAAAGACGGUUUUGCUGUCACUUCUAGCUGGAUCCGCGCCGCAUUAGCUAGUUGGUAAGGUAACGGCUUACCAAGGCAACGAUGCGUAGCCGACCUGAGAGGGUGAUCGGCCACACUGGAACUGAGACACGGUCCAGACUCCUACGGGAGGCAGCAGUAGGGAAUCUUCCGCAAUGGGCGAAAGCUUGACGGAGCAACGCCGCGUGAGUGAUGAAGGUCUUCGGAUCGUAAAACUCUGUUAUUAGGGAAGAACAAAUGUGUAAGUAACUAUGCACGUCUUGACGGUACCUAAUCAGAAAGCCACGGCUAACUACGUG
rnacentral:rRNA from 1 species